ACGCUCGACACCUGGGAGGCAGCAGUGGGGAAUAUUGCACAAUGGGGGAAACCCUGAUGCAGCGACGCCGCGUGAGUGAAGAAGUAUUUCGGUAUGUAAAGCUCUAUCAGCAGGGAAGAAGAUGACGGUACCUGAGUAAGAAGCCCCGGCUAACUACGUGCUAGCAGCCGCGGUAAUCUGAGCGGGCUGGCAAGGC
rnacentral:rRNA from 1 species